rnacentral:rRNA from 1 species
UACGUAGGGUGCAAGCGUUAUCCGGAAUUAUUGGGCGUAAAGGGCUCGUAGGCGGUCUGUCACGUCGGGAGUGAAAACUCGGGGCUCAACCCCGAGCCUGCUUCCGAUACGGGCAGACUAGAGGUAUGCAGGGGAGAAUGGAAUUCCUGGUGUAGCGGUGAAAUGCGCAGAUAUCAGGAGGAACACCGGUGGCGAAGGCGGUUCUCUGGGCAUUACCUGACGCUGAGGAGCGAAAGUGUGGGGAGCGAACAGG